CUGUUUUCGGACCAUGCUCAAUUUCUGUGAUAGUCUUCAAGAUCCUGUACUUCAUGUUUAAUUUUAGAGGUCGAGAACAAGGUGUAUUGCUGGCAAAAUACCCUUACCUGUGCCCUACCAACUACUUAUAGACAACGCUCUGUCCAAAAGCUCUAUCUACGAGUAGUUUAUUAUUAAAGUGCCAAUGAAACCUAGCUUUUAAAAGGAGAGAAAUAAUGGUGUCAAUGGUUGUAGUCUGUGAAACCCACCGGGCAUAUACUGCUCCCAGCUAGCUUAGAUCCAUCCCACUGGGAAACAUAAAACCGAUCUUAUCGUGCACCCUACCUUAACCCAAGUAUCUACUAGGUCCUAUUUGGUGAGAAGCCUCCUUAAACAAGCAGAGGCUUGUAGAUUAGGUUCCUCACUCGCCAGUCACAUAAACACAGCUCAUCAUAUAAACUCAAUUUGUAUAUUAUAUAAUCAUGUUAACAUAUAACUUCUCAUUGGAUGGUUCUACAAACGGACAGAGUCAGUGGAUAGUUGAAUCCAGUUCCCGUUUAUAAAAAUCUUUACUCGAAGUAUGUACAAAUUCAAAAGGCAUUUGUAGGAAUCGGAUACAAACUCAAAAUCUCGUUUAAAAUUAAUUUACCAUACACCUUCCAACCCAGAGGAGGACAGAGGAAGACUUCAUAGAAAUAUCCCAGAAAGAAUCCUAUUGACAGCUUAGCCAAGCGAUCCCAUUGGAUCUGAGACACCGAGGCCCCGCCCCCCCAGCACAGAGUCCCACAUCUCUGGACCCACAACCGCCGCUACCACCCAACUAACUAGGUUAGAUAAUUAGCAGCAGAAGAGGUUAGCCAGGGCUUGUUAGCUGCUAACUAGCGGCAGAAGUUGUCCGCAAGGGAAAGUUAUCAGCUAACUAGUUGCAGAAUACAUAACCCGGGGAUCAUUAGCUAAUAACUAGCGCCACAGGAGAGCUUAGCCAGGGGUUGAUAUCAGCUAACUAGUUGCAGAAGAAGUUAGCCGGUGAUCGUUAGCUGCUAACUAGCGCCACGGGAGAGGUUGGCUAGGGGUUGUCAGCUGCUAACUGUAGGAUAAUCCUUUGUGGGAUAUUCUGGUUCUUCGUAGCGCCGCACCAUCACCUUCAUUCAAAACCCUUCACAUGUUCAUCCCAAAAGAUGACCGAAUCAAACGUCCCUUACCCACCACCACCUCCUUCAAAACCCUGCUACCACGUCAGAGACUAGCCUGGCACUAGCAUCCAGGCAACAUGUAAACUGUUGAACACAGAGGUCCUCUCAAUCAAUCAUGAUUGAUAGUCAUUGUAUAAAAUCAAAUAAGAACAUGUCCUCAACCGCCAGCGUACCUGUGCUGAUUCACACUUCUGAUCGGACGGUUAAAACCACCACCAGCGCACCUGUGCUGUUCCACGCUUCCCACAUCCAAUCCGGACCACAUCCAACCAGUCCACAUCCAACACAGUCCCCCCCCCCCCCCCCCCCUCCACACCGGACAGCCCCUGGACCACAUGUUCAGUGACGACCAGAGAAGAG